UACAGAGGUCCCAAGCGUUGUUCGGAUUCACUGGGCGUAAAGGGUGCGUAGGUGGCCAGGUAAGUUUGGUGUGAAAGCUCGGAGCUUAACUCCGAAAAGUCAUUGAAUACUAUCUGGCUGGAGGGUCGGAGGGGAGACUGGAAUUCUCGGUGUAGCAGUGAAAUGCGUAGAUAUCGAGAGGAACACCAGUGGCGAAGGCGAGUCUCUGGACGACUCCUGACACUGAGGCGCGAAAGCAUGGGAAGCAAACAGG
rnacentral:rRNA from 1 species